AACGGUCUAUACCUGCGGUACCUGCGGAGGGAUCAUUACAGAGUUCGUGCCCUCUGGGUAGAUCUCCCACCCACUGUUUUCCUUACGACCGUUGCUUUGGCGGGCCGCCGGCCCUGCCCGGCCGCCGGCGCCCAGCUGGCGCGCGCCCGCCAGAGGCCCUCCAGACUCUGAAUGUUAGCGUCGUCUGAGUACCACAUAAUAAGUUAAAACUUUCAACAAUGGAUCUCUAGAUCGGAAGAG
rnacentral:misc_RNA from 1 species